UACGUAGGGUGCGAGCGUUGUCCGGAAUUAUUGGGCGUAAAGAGCUCGUAGGCGGUUUGUCACGUCUGCUGUGAAAUCCCGAGGCUCAACCUCGGGCCUGCAGUGGGUACGGGCAGACUGGAGUGCGGUAGGGGAGAAUGGAAUUCCUGGUGUAGCGGUGGAAUGCGCAGAUAUCAGGAGGAACACCGAUGGCGAAGGCAGUACUCUGGGCCGUAACUGACGCUGAGGCGCGAAAGCGUGGGGAGCGAACAGG
rnacentral:rRNA from 1 species